UACAAGGAUAAAUAUGGCUCAAAUUUUCACUCUAUUAAUUAUUAUUUUGCUAUUUCUUGUGGUAACCAACGGAUAUGAAUCGUGCAAUACAGUCCGUGAUUGUCCAAUCGAUAUUUGUCCAUUCACUACGGUUAUGAAGUGUGUUAGGAGUAUUUGUCAAUGCUACUAUGACAGAUUUAAGGUUCCAUAUCCGCCGAUUGUUAACAAAAUACGCAGUUAAGCACAGUAAUUAAUUAUAAUUGUUGAUUUGUGAUCAGAUUGUCUAGGGACUGGAUCUCAUGCAGUCAAAGCAUGCUGCAGUCAUGUAGUCACUACAUGUGAACCCUUAGAAUGAAUAUAGAUCACAUAAAUAAUAUAUUUUAAUAAAUUUGGAACAUUGUUUUAAGAUCUAAAUUGUUAGUUUAAUUCGGAUAGUUGAAAACAAUAACCAUGUCGAUGCAGUUAUCCAUAUGAAAAGUAAUUAUAUAUAACUAUAUUGUACAGUAAGUGUAUAAUUUAUUUGUAUCGUAUAAUUUCUCGCACACUUUGAUUUA